GACGAACGCUGGCGGCGUGCUUAACACAUGCAAGUCGAACGGUAAGGCCCUUCGGGGUACACGAGUGGCGAACGGGUGAGUAACACGUGGGUGAUCUGCCCUGCACUUCGGGAUAAGCCUGGGAAACUGGGUCUAAUACCGGAUAGGACCACUGCCUGCAUGGGUGGUGGUGGAAAGCUUUUGCGGUGUGGGAUGGGCCCGCGGCCUAUCAGCUUGUUGGUGGGGUGAUGGCCUACCAAGGCGGCGACGGGUAGCCGGCCUGAGAGGGUAACCGGCCACACUGGGACUGAGCUACGGCCCAGACUCCUACGGGAGGAAGCAGUGGGGAAUAUUGCACAAUGGGCGCAAGCCUGAUGCAGCGACGCCGCGUGAGGGAUGACGGCCUUCGGGUUGUAAACCUCUUUCAGCACCGACGAAGCGCAAGUGACGGUAGGUGCAGAAGAAGGACCGGCCAACUACGUGCCAGCCGCCGCCGUAA
rnacentral:rRNA from 1 species